rnacentral:rRNA from 1 species
GAUGAACGCUAGCGGCAGGCCUAAUACAUGCAAGCCGAACGGCAAGAUUUUCAGCAAUGGAAAUCCUAGAGUGGCGUAAGGGUGCGUAACACGUAUGCAAUCUGCCCUCAACAGGAGGAUAGCUCCCCGAAAGGGGAAUUAAGACUCCAUAAGAUCUUAGAGUGGCAUCACUUAGAGAUUAAACUACCAGGGGUUGAGGAUGAGCAUGCGCAUGAUUAGUUAGUUGGCGGGGGUAACGGCCCACCAAGACGAUGAUCAUUAGGGGGAACUGAGAGGUUGAUCCCCCA